GUAACGCGUGGGUAACCUGCCUCAUACAGGGGGAUAGCAGCUGGAAACGGCUGAUAAAACCGCAUAAGCGCACAGCAUCGCAUGAUGCAGUGUGAAAAACUCCGGUGGUACAGGAUGGGCCCGCGUCUGAUUAGCUGGUUGGCAGGGUAACGGCCUACCAAGGCAACGAUCAGUAGCCGGUCUGAGAGGAUGAACGGCCACAUUGGAACUGAGACACGGUCCAAACUCCUACGGGAGGCAGCAGUGGGGAAUAUUGCACAAUGGGGGAAACCCUGAUGCAGCAACGCCGCGUGAGUGAAGAAGUAUUUCGGUAUGUAAAGCUCUAUCAGCAGGGAAGAUAAUGACGGUACCUGACUAAGAAGCUCCGGCUAAAUACGUGCCAGCAGCCGCGGUAAUACGUAUGGAGCAAGCGUUAUCCGGAUUUACUGGGUGUAAAGGGUGCGUAUGUGGCAGUGCAAGUCAGAUGUGAAAAGCCGGGGCUCAACCCCGGAGCUGCAUUUGAAACUGCAUAGCUAGAGUACAGGAGAGGCACGCGGAAUUCCUAGUGUAGCGGUGAAAUGCGUAGAUAUU
rnacentral:rRNA from 1 species